rnacentral:rRNA from 1 species
AUUGAACGCUGGCGGCAGGCCUAACACAUGCAAGUCGAGCGGAUGAAGGGAGCUUGCUCCUGGAUUCAGCGGCGGACGGGUGAGUAAUGCCUAGGAAUCUGCCUGGUAGUGGGGGAUAACGUCCGGAAACGGGCGCUAAUAACGCAUACGUCCUGAGGGAGAAAGUGGGGGAUCUUCGGACCUCACGCUCUCAGAUGAGCCUAGGUCGGAUUAGCUAGGUGGUGGGGUAAAGGCCUACCAAGGCGACGAUCCGUAACUGGUCUGUGAGGAUGAUUAGUCACAUGGGAACUGGGACACGGUCCAGACUCCUAAGGGAGGCAGCAGUGGGGAAUAUUGGACAAUGGGCGAGAGCCUGAUACAGCCAUGCCGCGUGUGUGAAGAAGAUCUUCGGAUUGUAAAGCACUUUAAGUUGGGAGGAAGGGCAGUAAGUUAAUACCUUGCUGUUUUGACGUUACCAACAGAAUAAGCACCGGCUAACUUCGUG